rnacentral:tRNA from 2 species
GCCGAUGUAGCUCAGAUGGUAGAGCGCGUCCUUGGUAAGGACGAGGUCACCGGUUCAAUCCCGGUCAUCGGCUCCA